UUCAUUUAUUGUUGUAAUGCACAUUUGAUAUGUAAAUAGAUGGAUGUUGUUUUUCAUGUAUAAAAUUCAUCUAUUUUUUAUUGGACAUGCAACCUUAAAUUUGAACAUAUCUUAUUUAUUAUUAAUUUUGGUGUAUGCUUAUUUCAAGUGGGAGUUCUAAAUGACUUGAAUACUUGUAACGUCGCUAUAAUGGGACCAAGUUUAUGAUAAUUGAACAUUAGGAUAUCGACAAUGGGGAAUAUGUUAAACUUUCGACUCUAUGCCUUCUGUUAAAUUAUCAUAGAUUUAUUCUACAUUAUUGGCAAAAUCAAAUGUGUAUUGUGUUUGGAUAAUUGACAUUAUACAUGUAUGUCUCUUGGUACUAAAGUUUUAAUGAUAUCGAAAAGCAUUAUUGCUGACCUGAAUAAAGAUAAAAAGCUGAAUGGUGACAAUUAUAAUAUUUGGCAUGAAUCCAAUAUGUGCUUGAGGAACAAGAAGCCUUAGAGGCUAUACACCAUGAAAUGACAAACCUUGGUGAGGAUAAUUUUGCUCAAAGUAGGAGAAACCAAGAGGCAUAAUGAGCUUGGAAAAAUGUGGAUUCCACAACUCGAGGCAUUCUAGCUAUAUAAGCAUUAUUUGACUGCUUAUUCCAUGUGGAAUGCCUUAAAAGAAAAGUUUGGACAGACAUCAGUGAUCAAAUUGAGACAACCAACAAUCUAAGUUUGAGAUUUACAAGAAGCACUUGAAUCAUACAAUUCAGCAACACUCAAGGGAGAUAUUAAAUAUGAUUACUGAGUUGAAGUCAGCUGGCCAUUUUCUCUCUGAUAAGCAACAAGUGCAAGCUGUGAUCCGUUUCCUUCAUGAUAACUGGGAGCAUAUAAAGGUUAAUUUGACCCAUAAUGAAAGUAUCAAGAUCUUCACUGAUGUUGCCCACCAUGUGAAACUCGAAGAUGAGUGCCUUGUAGCGGCAAGGCCUCCUGGGUAGGCCUUUAUGGCCGAGUCUAGCUCCCAAAGGGCUUCAAGCUCUAAACGUAAAAGGUAUUGGAACAAGAAAGGGAAGGGAAAGGAAGGUGGACCUACACCUAAGAAGAAUAUGACAAACUGCAAGAAGAAGGGUAAGCGGUUUGAGAGAAAGAAAGAAAAGACUAAGAUGAAGUGUUACAAUUGUGGCAUAUUAGGUCAUUUGGCUCGUGAGUGCUCCAUUUAAAAGAAGACUCAAGAGCCAUAGACCAUGUAGCUAGCAACUGAGGAGCAUUUGUGGAGUAUUGCCAAAUCCAACUGGGGCAAGAUAGAUUUAUAUAGGAAACACUGCUAAAGAUGAGGUCAAAUGAAUUGGCACUUAGAAAAUUGGAUUUAUGUGGUGGCCAAUCUUUGCUCCUACAUGAUAUCCUAUGUGCCCUCGAGAUUCAACGAAACUUGGUCGCUAUAAUUGUUCUUCUGAGUUUAGGUUUCAGUUUGAACUUUAAGUCUAAUGGUGUGGACUUGUUUAAUGAUACUAUUUAUUAUAGUUCUGGUUAUGUAAUGAAUGAUUUUAUUGUCAUGGAUAUUGAACACUAUAUGUAUAAUUUUGACAAUGGUUGUUUUUCAUUACAUGCCUCUACUAACAAUAGUAACGUGGAUAUGAAUGUUUGGCGUACUAGAUUAGGCCUCAUUGGGCAAGAUCGAAUGAAUAAAUUAGCAAGAACAGACCUAUUGGGGUCACUCUCCAAAGUGAAAAUGUCCAUUUGUGAGCAUUAUUUAGCUGAAAAAGCAGUUAGAAAACUAUUUGGUAAAGCAAUUAGAGCCGAAUUUUCAUUACAAUUGAUACACUUUGACAUCUAUGGUCCAAUGAGUGUAAGAACAAGAUGAGGAGCUUUGUAUUUCAUUACAUUUAUAGAUAAUUUCAUACGUUAUAGUUAUGUCAAUCUGAUUUCUCAAAGUCUGAAGCACUAGAGUGUUUUAGACUAUAUAUGAAUGAAGUAGAGAAUCAGUUAAAAAAGAAAAUAAAGACCUUAAGAACUGAUCGAAGGCAUAAAUAUCUAUCCAGAUAAUUUAAGGAGUUAUGUAAUGAUAAAGGAAUUAUGAGGCAAUUGACUAUUCCUAGCAUCUCUCAGUAAAAUAGAGUUAUCAAGAGAAUGAAUAGAACUCUUUCGGAAAUGGUUAGAUCUAUGAUGAUACAAAUAAACCUACCAAAUCUCCUAUUGGGGAGAUGCAUUGGUGACUGCUGUCUAUAUACUAAAUUGUAUACCCUUGAAAUCAAUCCUUUCCACACCUUAUGAACUAUGGAUGGAUAGAAAAAAUCUGACCUAAGUCAUUUAAAAUCCUGGGGGUCUGUUGCCUACGUUCACGAUCUUUCUAAUCAAUAUGGAAAGUUGGAUCUAAGAGGAAAGAAAUAUGUCUUUAUCAGAUACUCAAAAUACUCAAAAGGUUAUGUAUUCCUAGAUAAAUAGGCAAACGAAAGCGUGAUCGAAACUGAAUCAUGGGAUGCCACUUUUCUUGAAAAUGAUUUCUCGAGCAAGGUUGAGAUUGAUAGAAAUACUUCUUUAUAUGAAAUGGAGGAAUUAGAUAAUGUCGAUCUUCGACAAACUGAGAUAUAAAAAGAGAUGUCUCAACCUCAAGAAUUAAGUGGGUGUGGUAGAAUAAGUGAAUUUGUUUCGUAAGAAUUUGAAUUGCGGAGAAGCAAUCUUAAGAGCAUAUCUGCUAUCAUUUUGAAAUUGAAAGAGAAACUUUAUUAAUCACUCCACAAGAUAGGGAUAAAUCUAAAGCAAUUCAUGAGGUUCUAUCUUGCCCUUCAUAGAAACAAUGAAAGAAAGCAA